rnacentral:rRNA from 1 species
CCCCUUAAGUUGGAUGUGAAAUCCUAUGGCUCAACCAUAGAACUGCAUCCAAAACUGAGGGGCUAGAGUCUGGGAGGGGAAGAUGGAAUUAGUGGUGUANGGGUAAAAUCCGUAGAGAUCACUAGGAAUACCAAAAGCGAAGGCGAUCUUCUGGAACAGUACUGACGCUGAGGCGCGAAAGCGUGGGGAGCAAACAGGAUUAGAUACCCUGGUAGUCCACGCCCUAAACUAUGAAUGUUAGUCGUCGGGAGGCUCGUCCUCUCGGUGAUGCAGCUAACGCAUUAAACAUUCCGCCUGGGGAGUACGGUCGCAAGAUUAAAACUCAAAGGAAUAGACGGGGACCCGCACAAGUGGUGGAGCAUGUGGUUUAAUUCGAAGAUACGCGAAGAACCUUACCUGGCCUUGACAUUGAUAGAAUCUGCUAGAGAUAGCGGAGUGCCCUUCGGGGAGCUUGAAAACAGGUGCUGCACGGCUGUCGUCAGCUCGUGUCGUGAGAUGUUGGGUUAAGUCCCGCAACGAGCGCAGCCCUCGUCACUAGUUACUAACGGUUCGGCCGAGGACUCUAGUGAGACUGCCUUCGUAAGGAGGAGGAAGGUGAGGACGACGUCAAGUCAUCAUGGCCCUUACGGCCAGGGCGACACACGUGCUACAAUGGGUAGGACAAUGAGACGCAAUACCGCGAGGUGGAGCAAAUCUAUAAACCUACUCUCAGUUCGGAUUGUAGUCUGCAACUCGACUACAUGAAGCU